rnacentral:tRNA from 1 species
CCAUUGCUCAGUUGGUAGAGCACAAGGCUAUUAAACUUGUGGAUGUGGGUUCAAGCCCCAUGGUGGG